GACGAACGCUGGCGGCGUGCUUAACACAUGCAAGUCGAACGGUAAGGCCCUUCGGGGUACACGAGUGGCGAACGGGUGAGUAACACGUGGGUGAUCUGCCCUGCACUUCGGGAUAAGCCUGGGAAACUGGGUCUAAUACCGGAUAGGACCCUGGGAUGCAUGUCCUGGGGUGGAAAGCUUUUGCGGUGUGGGAUGGGCCCGCGGCCUAUCAGCUUGUUGGUGGGGUGAUGGCCUACCAAGGCGACGACGGGUAGCCGGCCUGAGAGGGUGACCGGCCACACUGGGACUGAGAUACGGCCCAGACUCCUACGGGAGGCAGCAGUGGGGAAUAUUGCACAAUGGGCGCAAGCCUGGUGCAGCGACGCCGCGUGAGGGAUGACGGCCUUCGGGCUGUAAACCUCUUUCAGCACCGACGAAGCGCAAGUGACGGUAGGUGCAGAAGAAGGACCGGCCAACUACGUGCCAGCCGCCGCGGUAA
rnacentral:rRNA from 1 species